AAUGGACGAAAGUCUGACGGAGCGACGCCGCGUGGAUGACGAAGGCCGAAAGGUUGUAAAAUCCUUUUGUUGGGGAAGAAUAACCUGGGGAGGGAAUGCCCUGGGGAUGACAUGAACCGACGAAUAAGCCCCGGCUAACUACGUGCCAGCAGCCGCGGUAACACGUAGGGNGCGAGCGUUGUUCGGAAUUACUGGGCGUAAAGGGCAUGUAGGCGGCCUGAUAAGCCUGGCGUGAAAGUUCACGGCUUAACCGUGGGAUUGCGUCGGGAACUGUUGGGCUUGAGUCACGGAGGGGAAGCUAGAAUUCCUGGUGUAGGGGUGAAAUCUGUAGAGAUCAGGAAGAAUACCAGUGGCGAAGGCGAGCUUCUGGCCGAUGACUGACGCUGAGGUGCGAAAGUGUGGGGAUCAAA
rnacentral:rRNA from 1 species